GUCAGUCUUGGCUGGCAGACCUGUACUCCGUACUCCGUACUUCGUAGUCGCAGCGGCGCGGUCUUCGGCAGUCUAGUCAUCCACCGCCAUCCUGGGCCCCACGUGUUGCCUGACCAUUCCUGAGCCCAGGUAGGGGUCCUGGGGGAUUGGGUUCAGUGGCGGGCGGCGUGGGAGGCUGGGCCGCAGUGAGUGGGGGCACCAGUGAUUCUUGGAGACCAAGCCUUCACUACACGUGCUACUUCCUCUCAAGAGGCGGUUGAGCGCGUUCGGAACAUUUUACCCGGAGGAGACUCGGGGAUUACUUGAUGAGUAACCUCGUGCUUCUCUUUCAGCCGAGAAGUGGGGCUUCUGCAUGACCUGGGUGGACCCCAGUAGGUGGGAUGGGACGUGUGGUCAGGAGGGACCUCACCGGAAGGCAUGGGGUGGCGUGUAGACCUGCCGCAAGAGAGGCUGUAGAGUGGGCCAGGCGUUGCAAGGAGCUAGAGCUGGAUAAUGGUUCAGAGGCACAAGCUGAAGCUAACUGCGUUUGGAGCUAACUGCAUUUGUUCCCUUCUAGGUGGGAGCCGUGGCUGAGGUGACGGUCUCAAAGUGGAAGAGCUUACUGUCACAGCAACUCCUUUGCAAGAUGCCCCGGUAAAUCACGUUGCAGAGACCCCAACUCUGCCUUCCUGGAACUAGGCCUGCGUUUUCUCUGAACCAUUAUUUCAUGGGGAAAAUGAAAUCUACUUCAUGUGCCUGGUCUACUUACUCCUUCAGAAGUGAUUUCUGAGCCGUAAGAUACAUGAGAAAAAAAUGAAGGGGAAAAGGCAGUAUUUAUAUUAACUACAUGAUGAUAAGGAUGUUUCUGGUCACAGUGAAAAGCCAUGCUAGAAUUGUAGUGUCAUAGAAUAAUGUGGAAGUUUAGUUCGUGUUGUCUGAUCUAUUUAAUAAUUUAAUAAGGUUAUCUCUUCCAAGACACCUUCCCUUCUUCCUCAGCCAGAAAGGAUCUUUCCCUGAGAGUCAUUAGUAGCUCUGGGCUCCUGGAACCAAGCUCAGGCCAGGAAUAGUUGCUGAACACCCCAGGCCUGCUGAGGUCCCUCCUUGAGUCUCAUGUUCAAGCAGUCUUUGUCCAUGAAACUGGGAGGCGACCGUGUUAGCUGCCAGUUCCUGACAGCCACCUCUCACCAGUGGCUUCACUCUGUGUCCCUGACCCAGCACAUGGCACAAGAGUGCCUGCCAUCCGUCAGUGUUUCUACAGCAGCAAUCCCAAGAUGCUGGAGCUAGAGGGGACCUGACCUGAGAGAAGAUACCUUCAGUGGCUGCCAGGCUGUUCCUUGGAACCUGUGCAGGGAUGAGGCCUGCCUGUGUUAAUACACCUAGUGAGGAGUGGAGCUGAAUUUGAAUGCAAGCCUUGGCACCUUAAUUGAGCAAGUUUGAAACCUCGCUUGUUGCCCUUCUGGAAGGAGUCAGGAAUUUCCAGUUCUGGGCCUGGGCUGUGGGUCUGGCAGACAGACCUCUGGCCCUAGGUUUGGGUGCCAGGUUCUCUGCUUCCAGAAUGAGAAGCUUUGCUGUGCACCAGGACCUGGGCCCUUCUGGUAUCUCCUGAAUGAAAAACAAGGGAUAUUUAAUAAAUAUGGAUUUAAAUAUGUGAUUUAGUCUUGCCUGUUUUUUACAUAUGCCAGAUGCAAAGAUAGGAAGACCCUGCGUCUUCUUGAAGGAGUUGUCAGCUAAGUCCAAGGGAUCCCCAAGUAUUUCACCAUUCUCAAUGCUCAUGCUUGUAGAUAGCCACUUGGAACUCUGAUCAUCUUAUGUGCAUGUGCCACCAGUUUCAACUGACAGUGGCAAGCUGUGGUGAGAGUUCACAAGCCAAGGCCAACUGGCUGAGUUCUACAGUGAGGUGAUGGUGCACAAAGGCACUGUCAUCAGGAGCUUUACCUUCCAGGAGCAUUUGAUGGUUGGCUCGAUAAGACAUUCUGUCUCAUCAGAUAGUCUUAGGUAUUCACCUAAGCAUUCAAACAAGUUACAGAAGUAAUACCCUUAAUAUGUGUGAUGUGCCCCAUGUUGGUAUUGGGGAUGUUGUCAAGGAAUGUUGCAGCAGGCCAGGCCAAGCCCUGACAAAUAGAGCCAUUAAAGUACCAGUGACUUUUUUUUUUUUUUUGAGAUGGAGUCUCUGUCAUCCAGGCUGGAGUGCAGUGGCAUGAUCUCAGCUCACUGCAACGUCUGCCUCCCGGAUGAAGUGAUUUUCCUGCCUCAGCCUCCCAAGUAGCUAGGAUUACAGGCGCCCACCACCAUGCCCAGCUAAUUUUGUAUUUUUAGUAGAGACGGGGUUUCACCAUCUUGGCCAGGCUGGUCUUGGAACUCCUGACCUCAUGAUACACCCACCUCAGCCUCCCAAAGUGCUAGGAUUACAGGCGUGAGCCACCAGGCCCAGCAUUUUUUUUUUUUUUUUUGAGACGAAGUCUUGCUCUGUCGCCCAGGCUAGAGUGCGGUGGCAUGAUAGCUCACCAUAACCUCCACCUCCCGAGUUCAAGCGAUUCUCCUGUCCCAGCCUCUUAAGUAGCUGGGAUUACAGGCAUAUGCCACCAUGCCUUAAUUUUUGUAUUUUUAGUAGACGUGGGGUUUUACCAUGUUGGUCAGGCUGGUCUCGAACUCCCUGACCUCAGGUGAUCCACCUGUCUCAGUCUCCCAAAGUGCUGGGAUUAUAGACGUGAGCCACCACACCCAGCCUCCAGUGACUUACAUCCAAUUUACUACUGACAGUGAAUGGAAAAGCACCCAAAGGGGCCUGCAACAGGAGGCACAGCAUCUCCCCUUGUUGAGGAGCCAAUUCUAGACUGCAGCUGAGCAGAUUGUCUAGUCUGCAGCUAUACCAUGGGGGGAGUGGGGUACGAACCGGAAGUCUCACAUCCCUGCUUAGAAAAAAAAUCCCAGGAGACAGUAACUCCUGAUAGCCUCCCAGAAGGAUGGAGCGGGGAAUGGAGCUGGCCUUGUGGCAGCGCCUCCUAGGCCUCCACUCUCAGUUCCAGGAGGCUCAGUUGAGCUGUGUGGCCUGUGGCCUAUGAGAGUAUACCCCUAGGUAGAGCCAUUCCCCUACAAUUAGCCCAAUGGUAUCACCUCAGAUGAGGUAAAAAAAAAAAAUUUUUAAUAGAAAUACUAAGUUAUGGUACAGUUGUGUAGAGCCGAAAAAGCAACUCCCCUGAAAGGGGACAUUUUUCUGGGGCUGGGGAUUUGCUGCAAGGUCAGCACCAACAGAGCAAGCCUGGGAUUUGAAGGUUGCAACGAGGAGGGUGAGGGCAAGGGACCUGCAGGUGCAGCCGUAGGAGCCCUGGUGGAGGCAGGCAUUGUGAAACUGAUCCAGAUGAGAUAAUGAGAGGGAAACUCACUGGGGCCAGGAUGGUUUCCUCAGCCCCUGCCAGGCUUGAGUUGGUGGUGGCCCCUCCUUGCUGUCCUUCCAUUAGGAGCCUCUGCCUUUGUUCAUCUACCUGUUCUACCAGUCAUACCCUGUAAGGAGCAUGCCCUGGGGAAGCUGCAGAUAGAGCUACCAUUUGUCCUCCCUUCUGAGGACCAGGCCGUGACUCUGACUGACCGACUUUUCCCUGGGAUUUGAGUAGGACCCACUGAAUUCAGUGCUAUAAGGGCCCAGAGGUCUGUUGACCCAGGAGGGAACUUCCUUUGUAGUGAUGUCAUCUCAGCCUCGGUUUUAAUAUAUGUAAAAUGAAAAUAACAGUAACUCCUACAUGUGUCAUGAGAAUCAAAUGAGGCAAUGCAUGGCAAAUUUGUGCAAACUACCAAGGAAGGACGCCCAGGGUCCCAGCAACCAGCAGCAGCUAAAGCAAGGGCGGGCAAACUCCUCCCACCAGCCAAAUCUCUGAGCUAAGAGUGGUCUUGACAUUUUUAAGUGGUUAGUGGUGGGGGAAAUACCCAAAAUAGUAUGAUUACGUGACAGAUGAAAAGUUUGCGAAGUUCAGAUUUCGGUGUCCUUAACGUUUUACUGGAAUACAGCCAUCUUGGUUCCACUGGUUGGCUUGACUCCCUGGGGGUUGGGGAAGUGAAACUUGAAAAGACAGAUGAGCUGGCAAGAGUCUGGGUGAGAAUUCCCAGACUUGAGUGUAGGUUUGGGAAACCCUUCAAAAGCACCAGCCCAAGAGCCUGGGGGUGGGGAGGAGGCCACACUUGUCAGAGUUCCGAAGGACUGACUUUGAAUUUGCCCAAGAGGAGCCCCAGGUCUGGCCCAGGGUGGAGCCAGAGGCUGCCCACUUACAAAUUUGGGGAUUUUUCAGGCCAGUGGCCCCUUAUUGCAGUGGUGCGUGACUCAGUUUUAUUAGGUACUUGAAUAAGUACUUUCAGUUUUAUCAGGAAUGCAUUUGCUUUAAGGUAUUCGAGAGAAAAAAAUAAACUUAACUUGCCUAUCCAUUACUUCAAAGUUUAAAAAAUGGGAUGACUGAAAGACAAUAGUUAAACUAGUGCUUAUGAGUACAACAAAUCUCAAAGGCAGCACAUGAAUGACUGAAGUUUGGGAAUUCUGGAGUCUGCCCUUUGACCUCCCUGUAUGAGGGAAGGGGUGAAAGAGAAAUGUCACCAGUCUAUUUGUAGGAUGAGAGAGAACUGCAUCCAUUUGACCUUUGAUGAGAGAAUCGCCCCAGUGUUCCUAGAGGAUGGGUGUGACCUGCCCCAGUCUGUCCUGGGAUGAAAAAGAACUUUUUCCAGUCUGCCUGGAAGCUAAGAGAACUGCACCCCUCCCACUUCUUCCAGGAGCACUAAGUGUCAGGAAUGCAGUGUCUGGAGAUUUUGGCCACUCCCUAAAUGCAGCCGCUCCCCAAAUGCGCUGCCUCAUCUUCAAAGUGCAGGGACAGCAGCUCUGAGAUGAGGCCACAGGGCUCCAGGCAUGUUCCUGGUCCUCACUGCAGUUUAUGGGGGAUCGGCUGGACACAAGUACAAGGCAGAGGACAGUUAGGGGCACAGGGGUCCCACUGAAGGCCAGCCCCAUGCAGAGGAUGCUCUGGGGUCCUCUGUCCCUCCCCCGUGGCUGGGGUGGGGAAUUGCAGUGCUAGGACCACUGGCCCUUGGCAGGUCACACAAGAAGCUUUGCUCGUCUACACCCCAGUGUGGCCUUCACACUGCAAAGAAGGCUGUUGCCCCCACCCCAAAGGCCUGGGCAUUAGGAUCCUUUUUCAUUUUUGUAUUAAUGUACAAUGUACAUACAGUAUAUUGCAUCUAGUGUUCAGUUCUGACUUGAGAGACACACACAGCCAGGUAACCAAGAUCACGUCAAAAAAUCUUUCUUUAAAGUCCCACAAGUGACUCUAACGUGCUGCCAGGGUUGGAAGCCAACCCACGGAGUCUUGUCUCCUGCUUGUGGGUGGAGGGGAGCUUCCGAAGGAGGCCAGCGAAGAACCCUCCAAAGCGGGGAGGACCCAGCAUCCGGCCCCUCGCCCCUGGCGUGCAAACGGGUCAGACCGUUAGGCACAGCCUCCUUGUGGGGCGCAGGGACAGGAAGCAGGGUUUAGAGCACCUCGAGGGGGAAGGAGUGGCAAGUGCGGAGGGCAGCCCCUCCCAGGACUAGAACCCACUUCCUACUUUACACCAGCACUGGAGGAGGCUGGUGGGGCAGGGCGGGGGCGGUGGGGCCUCCCCUAGCCUUCCCUCCCCCUCUCCUUCACUGUCCUUCCAGCAGGCACAGGAAGGUGAGGCAAGGUGUUUCCAGCCGGCAGGAUGGAGGACGAGGAAGGCCCUGAGUAUGGCAAACCUGACUUUGUGCUUUUGGACCAAGUGACCAUGGAGGACUUCAUGAGGAACCUGCAGCUCAGGUAGGCCCAGGGCAGGAGGCAGUGGCUCCCCUCCUCCAGGGUCUCCCACCUUGCGUCCUCGCAGAGACCUGAGGGAAAGAGGAAGGCACGCUGCUGUCCAAGGGAGGGGGCAGUGGCACACACCCACCCAGACCAGAUGGGGCUGAAAUGAGUGCCUCAAAGCACGGCCCCAGGGGACAGGAACAGACAAGGAGGCAACUGUCCCUGUCAGGGCUGGCAAGUCAGCACCGGAGCUGCCCACCACCUCAACCCACCCCUGCCUCCCACACAGUCCAGGCAUCUUCUGCCCCUUCUUUCCUGCCCGACGGGGCCAGGGCAUGACACUUCUUGGACAGAUACAUACCAGGCACUAUCUUUCCAGGAGGGACCAGGGGCACCUCCCUCCAGCCACUUCCCAGCCAGUUGUUGAUGCUCCCUCGAUGCAUCUCAUCCAUGGGGCCUGGCCUGAGCCCUGGGGACACUGAGAUGAAGCAGUCAGGCUCCACCCUAGGGUCCAAACAUUCCCACCAAGUUGAGGUGACAUUCUCCUGGGGUACAUGGAGUAUCACAGGACACAGUUGGUAGAAGUGAUAUUGGAGCCCAAUUUACCAUCAAGGAGGGCAGGUGGAGGGCAGGGAGAAGCCCGGGAGGUAGGGGCAUGGCACAGUAGGGUGGCCAUACAGGCAGCUGGGCUUCCUGCCAGGACUCCCAGGGAGGGGCAGAAGGCCACUCGCUGUGUACUCCGGAAGCUCCCUGGGGAGAGCUUGGGGACCAGGAUCCCCACUAAGCACCGAAGGCAAGAGACCACGAGCCUGGCUCAAAGAGGAGGGCUAGCCAGGACGUGAGCUAAGCACUUUGUGCACAUUGUUCUACCUCAUUCUUAUAAAAUGAGCUUAUGAAACAUUGUCCUCUCUAUUUUGAUGAGGAGAACACUGAGCCCUGGAGACGUGGGUGACUUGUGCCCUCAUCCCCAGCUUGUAGGAGGAUGGGAGCUAGGCCCAGGAAAACCCAUGUCAGAGGUGGUGGAGAAAGAGGAACCUCAGGACAGGCCCAC
rnacentral:lncRNA from 10 species